UUUCCCUACGGGAGGCAGCAGUGGGGGAUAUUGCACAAUGGGGGGAACCCUGAUGCAGCGACGCCGCGUGUGGGAAGACGGUCCUCUGGAUUGUAAACCACUGUCCCCAGGGACGAAAAUGCCGGUACCUGGGGAGGAAGCUCCGGCUAACUACGUGCCAGCAGCCCCGGUAAUACGUAGGGAGCGAGCGUUAUCCGGAUUUACUGGGUGUAAGGGGGGCGCAGACGGCGAUGCAAGCCAG
rnacentral:rRNA from 1 species